CUAUCAAGGCUGCGUUACGGUUCUGCAUCCGCAGAUUAAAAGGGAAUGUGGUGAGGUCUUUUGACCAAUGCCACGACUGCCCUCGCAACUGUAAGCGGCGAGCUUCACGCCUAAAGCCACUGUACCCCCGCGGGGAUACGGGAAGGAGGUGUGAAGCGCAUGAGCCGCGAGUCAGGAGACCUGCCGUUACGCGAGAAACCAA
rnacentral:ncRNA from 2 species